UAGACCGCCUGGGGAGUACGGCCGCAAGGUUAAAACUCAAAUGAAUUGACGGGGGCCCGCACAAGCGGUGGAGCAUGUGGUUUAAUUCGAUGCAACGCGAAGAACCUUACCUGGUCUUGACAUCCACGGAAGUUUUCAGAGAUGAGAAGGUGCCUUCGGGAACCGUGAGACAGGUGCUGCAUGGCUGUCGUCAGCUCGUGUUGUGAAAUGUUGGGUUAAGUCCCGCAACGAGCGCAACCCUUAUCCUUUGUUGCCAGCGAUUAGGUCGGGAACUCAAAGGAGACUGCCAGUGAUAAACUGGAGGAAGGUGGGGAUGACGUCAAGUCAUCAUGGCCCUUACGACCAGGGCUACACACGUGCUACAAUGGCGCAUACAAAGAGAAGCGACCUCGCGAGAGCAAGCGGACCUCAUAAAGUGCGUCGUAGUCCGGAUUGGAGUCUGCAACUCGACUCCAUGAAGUCGGAAUCGCUAGUAAUCGUGGAUCAGAAUGCCACGGUGAAUACGUUCCCGGGCCUUGUACACACCGCCCGUCACACCAUGGGAGUGGGUUGCAAAAGAAGUAGGUAGCUUAACCUUCGGGAGGGCGCUUACCACUUUGUGAUUCAUGACUGGGGUGAAGUCGUAACAAGGUAACCGUAGGGGAACCUGCGGUUGGAUCACCUCCUUACCUGAAAGAA
rnacentral:rRNA from 1 species